AUAAUUAAAGAAAUUAACCUGGCUGCACAGAAAUGAGACAAUGGGGCUGCCUUUUCUGCAGGACUGGAUUCCAGCUCACCAGACUGAAUGACAACUUCAGAUCCCAACAUGACCCUUGGAAACCGCAGCUGGAAAAGCUGAAAAAGCAAAACACUUACCAGGAAAAGGGAAGGAUCAAGAGAAAAGGUGUUCAGAUCAAAUCCUCACUGUUGCAGGAGCAAAGCCAACCAGGACUGACGUGAUUUCCCCACCAGUGAUGCUUGACUGGCUGGGAAAAGCAGCACCUCCAGCACCUGCUGUGAGAGAAAAGGAGCUUGCAAAGUCCUGCAGCCAGAACUGCCACCAAGGUCAGGAAUUGUGCAUUUUCUCAGUUUGGACGUUGGCAGAGGGAUCAUCUAUCACCUGCCUAGCACGGGCCCACAUUUGUUCUGAUGAUGCCCUGAGAAGAGGGAGCUGUUGGAGAGAUUUAAAGGUCCUUUUUCUGAGGUGAUGGCCCUUUGAGAUAAGUAACAAAGUGUGAGAGAGGAGAAGUGUUUCCUCUCAAUUUGUGCUCAAGUAUAA